rnacentral:rRNA from 1 species
UACGGAGGGCUCAAGCGUUGUUCGGAUUCAUUGGGCGUAAAGGGUGUGUAGGCGGCGCGCUAAGUCGGGUGUGAAAUUUCGGAGCUUAACUCCGAAACUGCAUUCGAUACUGGCGGGCUUGAGGACUGGAGAGGAGACUGGAAUUCAUGGUGUAGCAGUGAAAUGCGUAGAGAUCAUGAGGAAGACCAGUGGCGAAGGCGGGUCCCUGGACAGUUCCUGACACUGAGACACGAAGGCCAGGGGAGCAAACGGG